rnacentral:snRNA from 1 species
GGAUAUGAAGGUCAUUUGGCUGUGACAUCUGUCACCCCAACCCAUUGAUCACCAGGGUUGAUUCAGCUGAUCUGGCUGGCUAGGUGAGUGCCCCCAUCCUCCUUCAUCAUUCCCCGUGAGUACCCCUCAAAGCUGGGUAAAGAGGGCAACCUUCCCUGAUAGAGGAGAACCAUUCUUCAGUCAAGAUGAGUAACUAAGCUCUCCUGCUAGAAUCUCCAAAACAAGCUCUCCAAAAUAUUAAGGCCACCAAUGACAAUUUGCUUCCUGCCUUUAAUAAUUUGGUAAGAUGGGAAUGAUAAUUUGUAAUUGCAAAUGCUUUAACCAUCAAAUUCCUAUUU